rnacentral:tRNA from 1 species
UCUCUGAUGGUCCAGUGGUGAAGACUCUGCGCUUCCACUGCAGGGGGCACAGGUUCAAUCCCUGGUCAGGGAA